rnacentral:rRNA from 1 species
CCAUGCAGUCGACGAUGAUCCCAGCUUGCUGGGGGAUUAGUGGCGAACGGGUGAGUAACACGUGAGUAACCUGCCCUUAACUCUGGGAUAAGCCUGGGAAACUGGGUCUAAUACCGGAUAUGACUCCUCAUCGCAUGGUGGGGGGUGGAAAGCUUUUUGUGGUUUUGGAUGGACUCGCGGCCUAUCAGCUUGUUGGUGAGGUAAUGGCUUACCAAGGCGACGACGGGUAGCCGGCCUGAGAGGGUGACCGGCCACACUGGGACUGAGACACGGCCCAGACUCCUACGGGAGGCAGCAGUGGGGAAUAUUGCACAAUGGGCGCAAGCCUGAUGCAGCGACGCCCCGUGAGGGAUGACGGCCUUCGGGUUGUAAACCUCUUUCAGUAGGGAAGAAGCGAAAGUGACGGUACCUGCAGAAGAAGCGCCGGCUAACUACGUGCCAGCAGCCGCGGUAAUACGUAGGGCGCAAGCGUUAUCCGGAAUUAUUGGGCGUAAAGAGCUCGUAGGCGGUUUGUCGCGUCUGCCGUGAAAGUCCGGGGCUCAACUCCGGAUCUGCGGUGGGUACGGGCAGACUAAAGUGAUGUAGGGGAGACUGGAAUUCCUGGUGUAGCG